CAGAACAGCCCACACAGUUUAGUCAGCUUGGAACUCAGAGGUGAUGCCUAAUAGCAUAAUCUCGGCAUAAAGUGGAAUGGACCGUUUUCUGAAAAUGUACAAGUCUACCUGAGUCUGGAGCCGAAUGCAGAGAUACCGGGGCCCGUGUUCUCAGCAGCUAGACUGUCUACUCCACCCCAAACACUGGUGGUGCCUAUGUGGAUCAUUAGACCCACCAGGGCACGUGAGAAAGUAUCCCGUUGAGUAAGGGGUUCUUCUAGACGCUAUAGACUGUGGCUUCUCAUCUUGCAGAUCCUCGACAGAGUGUCUUUCUUCUGCAAUCCAACAAACGCCUGUCAUAGACUCAUGGAUCUGAGUUGGUGAUGAAAAGGAAUUUAUCUUC
rnacentral:lncRNA from 1 species